rfam:Picea glauca, whole genome shotgun sequence.
GUAAUGGUGUCUUUAGACACCACAUUUUUUGUUUUCAAAAUAUUAU